UCUUUCUCCUCAUUCGCUUUGGGCAGAACAGAAGUUAGAAAUGCGUGAGCAGUGAUGUACUGUUUGUGAACAUCCGUCCACUGAUGAGAGCAGUGUUUACAGGAAUACAGUAAUAUGUGCUUUCCUGUCUAUAACAGAAUAAACACACAAACACAGUGGAGAGGAACCAGCCGUUCAGCAGUGUGUGGUGUUGCGCCGUGACACACCCGAGUAGACGUGUUCCUGUCCAGGAUGAGGGAGAAAGUGAAGCCACUGAACAGGACUGAAGGAGCAGCAGUGCUUUAUCCUAUGAUCCAGGUUUCAGUCAAAGACUAAACGUUAAAUUUGAACUGACUGGCAAACGCUGGAAGGAAGUCACUGGAUUAAUCGACGUGAAGUCAACAGAUUUGACGCAGAGGCCCCAUGAAAAUACACGACUGAUACGUCACUGUACUGACAGAUUUUAAAGACAUCAAGUUGUGUUUGUGUCGGACUCAUUUCAUGAGAGAGUGUCCUAACAGGGGAACCUAAUGCAUAUGAGUGUUUUGCAUGAUUGCGAUGCCACAGUUUUGCACUGAAGCGCUCCAGGAUUGCGAUGGCGUCUCCUUCUCAACAGUUUGCAGAGGCAUCGACUCAUGACUAUUCAUCAGCACUCGGAUGUCGCCAGAAUAUUCAAAUUACACCGCUGAAAUCCGCCAAACCUCUUCAACACACUGAUCUCUCCUCACUUAUGGGAGCUUUUGUGUGUGUGUGUGUGUGUGUGUGUGUGUGUGUGUGUGUGUGUGUGUGUGUGAUAGAACAAAAGAGAUGGAGAAGCCUCCAACGGCUGUGCUCCGCCUCCAUCAG